UACGUAGGGUGCAAGCGUUGUCCGGAAUUAUUGGGCGUAAAGAGCUUGUAGGCGGUUUGUCGCGUCUGCUGUGAAAUUUCGGGGCUCAACCCCGAACUUGCAGUGGGGUACGGGCAGACUAGAGUGUGGUAGGGGAGACUGGAAUUCCUGGUGUAGCGGUGAAAUGCGCAGAUAUCAGGAGGAACACCGAUGGCGAAGGCAGGUCUCUGGGCCACUACUGACGCUGAGAAGCGAAAGCAUGGGGAGCGAACAGG
rnacentral:rRNA from 1 species